rnacentral:rRNA from 1 species
UGCGCUUGUGAAUCGCGAAACCGCGAAUGGCUCAUUAUAUCAGUUGUGAUUGUGAAGGUAUGCCAAGGAUGGAUAUCUCUGGAAAAGCUAGAGCUAAUACAUGCAGUGCCAGUCCCGCCCAGCGAUGGAACGGACGCAGUUAUGACGAAAGAAACCAAACGGCUCGGGGCUCGCCCCGGUCGGUUUGCAGUGGUGAACCGAAGUAAGUGCGAUAUCGCACGGUCUCGUACCGGCGAUGAACCUUGCCAAAGCCUGCCUCAUCAAACUUGAUGGCAUGGUCUGUGCCGGCCAUUGUCGCCACGGGUGACGGGGAAUCAGGGUUCGAUUCCGGAGAGGGAGCCUGAGAAACGGCUACCACAUCUAAGGGAGGCAGCAGGCACGCAACUUACCCACUCCCGGCACGGGGAGGUAGUGACAAUAAAUGAUGAUGCGGGACUCACUCGAGGCCCCGUAGUUGGAUUGAGCCGACUAUAAACACUUUGACGAGCAGCAAUUGGAGGGCAAGUCUGGUGCCAGCAGCCGCGGUAAUUCCAGCUCCAAUAGCAUAUAUUAAAGCUGCUGCGGUUAAAAAGCUCGUGAUUGGACUUGGGUCCCACGUUGUCGGUUCACCGCCCCGCGGUGUCAACUGACAUCUUACGUGCGGACGUCCGCCGGUGGAUGCGGUCGGCCGGCCAAACCUGUAUCAGGUCGCCGCGUGUCGACGGUCCUGUGAAAACCUGCCGAGGUGCUCUUUAACAGAGUGUCGAGGAGGGCCGGCAUGUUUACUUUGAACAAAUUAGAGUGAUCAAAGCAGGCAGUGUGAAUGCCUACAUAUUCUGUGCAUAGAAUAAUGGAAUAGGACCUCGGUUCUAUGUCGUUGGUUUGCUGAGUCUGAGGAAAUGAUUAAGAGGAACUGCCGGGGGCAGACGUAUUGUGACGUUAGAGGUGAAAUUCUUGGAUCGUUGCAAGACGGCCUAAAGCGAAAGCAUUUGCCAAGAAUGUUUUCAUUAAUCAAGAACGAAAGUCAGAGGUUCGAAGGCGAUCAGAUACCGCCCUAGUUCUGACCGUAAACUAUGCUGAUUAGCUGUCCGCCCCGAGGUCUUUCUCUGAAAGUACUCGGUGGGCUGCCCCCCGGGAAACCGAAAUGUUUCAGUUCCGGGGGGAGUAUGGUUGCAAAGCUGAAACUUAAAGGAAUUGACGGAAGGGCACCACCAGGAGUGGAGCCUGCGGCUUAAUUUGACUCAACACGGGAAACCUCACCAGGCCCGGACAUUGGAAAGAUUGACAGAUUGAAAGCUCUUUCUUGAUUCAGUGGGUGGUGGUGCAUGGCCGUUCUUAGUUGGUGGAGUGAUUUGUCUGGUUAAUUCCGGUAACGAACGAGACUCUGGCCUGCUAAAUAGUCGCAAAGAGCGGUAUCCGAUUGCUACCGGCGCCAAUCUUCUUAGAGGGACCGGCGGUUGCCAGCCGUACGAGAAAGAGCAAUAACAGGUCUGUGAUGCCCUUAGAUGUUCUGGGCUGCACGCGCGCCACAAUGAAGGAAUCAACGUGCUCCUUGCCCGAGAGGGCGUGGUAAUCCGUUGAAUUUCCUUCGUGGGUGUGGAUUGUGGUUUGAAAUUGUACCGCAUGAAAGAGGAAUUCCCAGUAAGCGUGGGUCAAGAGCCCGCGCUGACUAAGUCCCUGCCCUUUGUACACACCGCCCGUCGCUACUACCAAUUGGAUGGUUUGGCAAGGUUUUCGGACCGGCGCAAGACGGACCCGCCAGGGACCCGAGAUGCUGCUGGGAAGUUGAUCGAGCUUGAUCAUUUAGAGGAAGUAAAAGUCGUAACAAGGUUUCCGUAGGUGAACCUGCGG